AGUGAAUAGAUACCCCGGUAGUCCACGCUGUAAACGAUGAGUGCUGGACGUUGGCGGGUUUACCUGCCGGUGUCGCAGCUAAACGCGUUAAGCACUCCGCCUGGGGAGUACGGCCGCAAGGUUAAAAACUCAAAGGAAUUGACGGGGGUCCCGCACAAGCGGUGGAGCAUGUGGUUUAAUUCGACGCAACGCGCAGAACCUUACCAGCCCUUGACAUGGGCGGACGGGGUUCCAGAGAUGGACUCUUUCUCGCAAGAGACCGCUACACAGGUGCUGCAUGGCUGUCGUCAGCUCGUGUCGUGAGAUGUUGGGUUAAGUCCCGCAACGUAGCGCAACCCGUCGUCUCCGAGUUGCCAUCGGG
rnacentral:rRNA from 1 species